rnacentral:lncRNA from 1 species
GUCUUUUCGAGGUAGGAGUCGACUCCUGUGAGGUAUGGUGCUGGGUGCAGAUGCAGUGUGGCUCUGGAUAGCACCUUAUGGACAGUUGUGUCCCCAAGGAAGGAUGAGAAUAGCUACUGAAGUCCUAAAGAGCAAGCCUAACUCAAGCCAUUGGCACACAGGCAUUAGACAGAAAGCUGGAAGUUGAAAUGGUGGAGUCCAACUUGCCUGGACCAGCUUAAUGGUUCUGCUCCUGGUAACGUUUUUAUCCAUGGAUGACUUGCUUGGGUAAGGACAUGAAGACAGUUCCUGUCAUACCUUUUAAAGGUAUGGAGAGUCGGCUUGACUACACUGUGUGGAGCAAGUUUUAAAGAAGCAAAGGACUCAGAAUUCAUGAUUGAAGAAAUGCAGGGUUUUUAAUGACCACAACAAGCAAGCAUGCAGCUUACUGCUUGAAAGGGUCUUGCCUCACCCAAGCUAGAGUGCAGUGGCCUUUGAAGCUUACUACAGCCUCAAACUUCUGGGCUCAAGUGAUCCUCAGCCUCCCAGUGGUCUUUGUAGACUGCCUGAUGGAGUCUCAUGGCACAAGAAGAUUAAAACAGUGUCUCCAAUUUUAAUAAAUUUUUGCAAUCCAUCUGGA